GCAGACAGGAGUGUCUGGCUCAGCAAGACAGGGUGCUGGAGUCCUGAGUUGGCAGGGAAAGCAGGGGUAGAAGUAGUCUGGGCACAUCAGGUGGCAGCUCCCAGAGGGUUUCUGUGAUCCCACCUGUCACAAAUGCCUUUCUAGAGGCCCUUUGAGAACUUACACAUCGGUAGCCCUGUGGGAGUAAGUCUAUCAUGCAUCUGCUGUUUUUGCUCAUGUCUGAGACACAGAUCUCAAGAGGAAAAUCUGGAAAAGGACAAAAUGGAAGAAUGAACUGUAGUAAGAUUUGGGGCCUUAUGCUAAUUCUUGCCCAGUCUUGAGUUAAAGAUUUGUGUUACCUUAACAUGUACAGUAACUCCUCACUUAAAGUCGUCCCGGUUAACGUUGCUAUGUUGCUGAUCAUUUAGGGAACAUGCUCAUAUAAAGUUGUGCAAUGCUCCCUUCUAAUGUCGUUUGGCAGCUGCCUGCUUUGUCUACUGAAGAGUAUCUCAGUGAAAGUUUUUUAAUCCUCUGCCAAAGGUUUGGGAUGGAAGCCUUAUUUCUUCUUCCGUAGUAGGAUGCUUUCCCAUACCAGACCGUGAUAACUUUGGCAGGCAUCAUUGAAGUACCCAGGCUAGCAACACGCGGGCAGCUUCAGAACGCCAGCAGCAGCUGUGCUCUCUAUACCGGGGUCGGCAACCUACAGCACGCAUGCAAAAGAGUGGAUUUCUUCAAUAUGAUAUAUUAUUUGCUUCCUUAUCACACACCAGAUCAUUGGGUUCUUGCGAUAGCAUUGAUGCAAACAAAAGAAUUAUUAACAAUUGACCCCUUGUGUGAUGAGAUGAGAUAUGAAAGAACAUGUCUAAGGAAUUGGAGUUUCAGAUACUUCAUCAAACGAUUAAUGAGCAACUCCCCAUCUGAUUGGAAGAAUAAAAUUCUUCAGCAUAAUAAACAAAAAGUGAUGGCCACAACUGCGGACCACUCAUCUUAAAGGUUUUGAAUACAAAAUUGCCAUUAUCAUUUAUGUAUGUGAAAUUAUCAGGGGUGAAAGUAAAUGUGGAAGAUUACUGGUGUGCACUGCACCAGCGUCCUUGCCAUGGCGUGUGGGGUAUGCUCUGGGCCCUCAGAAGGGAUGGGUCUUGGGUGGAAGAUGUGGGCUGGGGGGCCAGAUUCCCCCAGCCAGCCCUUCCUGACAGCUGCUGUGGUGGUGGGAAGGAGCCCCAGGCCCUUUUGAAUCACUGACCCCCAGGGCAACUGCCCCUUUUCCUCCCCCACUGUUGGUGGCCCUGCCGGUAUCAUCCAGCAGCGCUGUCAGACCCUAUGGCAGGGCCACAGAUGUGAGGAGAGGUAACGGGGGCAGGGACCUGAAAGCAUAAAGCACUGCCACAGCAGCACUGUAACGUCAUCCGUGUACGGGCCGGAACCGGUGGCCAGUUCUUACCAGCAUGCUGGCCCAGCCCACUUUCACCUCUGGGAAUUGUGAUAUUUUUUCUAAAUAGAAGUGUUAUUAGUUUGCAGAAACGUAUUUGUGGCAGAAAGACAUCAAUUCAAUAGAAACACAUCACAAGAGGCUAAUGCUGAGUUUAGAAGACAAGUAGCAAUUGUUCUAGUGAAAGAGUCAGAAAGCGUGGAGGACUACUGCAUAUACUGCAACCUUGUCAGUUGUGAAAAGGAAAGUGAGGAUUGCACGAUGGUCCAGUGUGAUUCUUGCAAGAGGUGGGUACAUAUGCCCUGCAUUCCAGAAGGAACAAAUCAUGAAAUCCUCACUGAUGAGGAAAAAGAAUACGAGUGCAAAAAAAAGAACUGAACUAUGCACUAUCAGAAAAAUGACAUUAUCUGUAAAUAGUUGUUGUUAAAAAUGGCUUUGAACAAAAAGCUAACCUUUUAUUUAUAUACCGGAUUACAAUAAAGUUUUUAAAAUUGGAAAAACACUUCUCUGUAUUUGUGUCCCUGUGUAUAAGGCAAAUUAUACAGGCAGCAAGAAGGGAGGGAAUAGUGAGUGUUUUGGACCACAGAACCCCAUCCCUCCUAAUUUGAAACCCCUGGACUGGUGACCGGUGGAUGGGCAGCAAAGUCCUUGCAAAUAAGCAAGGAAGAAGCCAGUGGGGAAAAAAAUCAGAGUAUCACCUUGGGCUCAUGGACAUCCUCCGUACCCCCAAAGCUUACCUCCCUUUUCACGUACUCACACACACGGUGAAACAGCACGCCUCAAUCAUCCAAUUUGGCACAUUAGCAAGGACGAAGCAAAUUGUGAGUGUUUUCGACCAAAAACCCCAUCCCUCCUGAUUGGCAACCCUUGGCCCAGGCGGUAGCUAGUCUUGAGCAGUAGCCAAGAUGGUUGCGUUUGCGUGGCGGAAACUGCACCUAGUUUCAAAAGGGGGAGGGUUGCUAUUUGUGUCACCAUACCUGCUCCUGCCAGCAGGGGUCUCAGCUGCUGGCCUGCUCAGCCCGCUGCCAGCCUGGGGUUCCUUGGGGGUCCCCAGGCCAGCAGCGGGCACUGAGUGGGGCUGGUGGCCGGAACCCCAGAGCGGCGGUGAGCUGAGCGUGCUGUAGGUUGAUGAUCCCUGCUGUGUGAGGAAGAUCCCCCAGGGGCCAUGGCAAAGAACAGGAGGUGUUGGGGGUGGCUGUUGGCUUUUCCUCUGCCCCAUUACACUCCCCCGGGGGCUCCCAAGUCAGCACCCACCAGUUUGGGUUUUCUCUUUCCUGUGUGAACCUCUUAACCCCCUUCUCCCCCCCUUCAUCCCUGCAGCAUCUACCUCCGCCUGGUCCUUGCACUGCCAAGCGAAGGGGCUGGGUAGAAAUGCUGAGCAGCUCACUGAGAUGAGGGAGCAGCUGCCUCUGGCACUGGAGCAGGGUAGAGGGAGGGGGAAACACACUCAGCGGCUGGGAUACACUUGGGGAAAGAGAAUGAGGAGAGAAGCGCACCCCCCCCCCACACACACACACAACCACACACACGCAGGCAGAGCGCAAGGACACACAUGCACAGUUUUCAAGGCAUGCAGCUGCACCCAGAGUCAGGCACCCCACGCCCAGUGCCUGAGACAAAGUGAAGGAGCAGGGGGCACAGACACCACGUGAGAACCAGGCACCAGGGCUGAGAUGCACAUGAGAGAAAGACGGGCUGAGAGGAGACAGGCCCCCGCCCACACUGACCGAGAGUGGGAUGCGGCCACACAGACACAGACCAAAAGACGCACUGAGAUUGUGACAGACACACCUCAGGGACUGGCAGCCACACACCCAAAGCGGCUGAUGCACACACCUGGCGUCUGAGUGAGUCUCACACACACAGGGUGAUUACAUGCAGAUGGUGAUCUCACACACACACACACACACACACACACACACACACAUCUCUCUCUCACAGGAUCUCUCACACACUGUGACUGUACUCACCCCUCCAGUGACUGAGAACGCCAGGCUCCCUGUGGAAUCUGAGCGCAGCAGCAGCAAACGCACCCUGGGUCUGGUCCUUCUCUCUCUUUUUCCAUUUGGUCAAACGGCACCUACCCAAGCCCUGAAAAAAUGCCUGCUCGUGAAGCGAGGAGAGGGCGCCGGGUCUGUAAAUAAGAAGUUAACCUCCAGCGGGUACUCGAGAGAAGAUCCUAUGCCUGUGGAAAAUGACAUUGCCUCCUUCCUCUGGGGCAUGCCCAGCUUCCAGAGAGCUGGGCAAGAGACUUGUUUGAAUCUACAUUUAGAAUGGCGGCACCUGACUUGCUGGAUCCCAAAUCUGCCACUCAGAACUCCAAACCACGGCUAUCAUUUUCUACAAAACCCACAGUGCUCUUGUCACGAGAGGAAUGUGAUUCGGCUAUUAAUGUUAUGAAAUGGAAGACAGUCUCGACGAUUUUUCUGGUGGUUGUUGUAUAUUUAAUAAUUUAAUAUUUAAUAAUACUGUCUUCAAACCCUGGAGCAGCCACAUGAAACUUCUCAAAGAGCCACCAUUGUGAUUCAGAAGCAGACGUUUGUAUCUGAGGGUUCCUGUGUGAAUGCAUCGGAGCUCGAUGAAGUAAUUCAAGUCAUUCAUGUAAAAAAGUAACUUGUUCCUAUGUUUUAGAAGAAUGAAUUCUUCUAUAGCAAUACUUCUGUGAUAAUUGGGACACCACUGUAUUAGCAUUUGAGCUGCAAAUGUAUCAAGAUGGCUAACUUAAGACAGAAAGGUUGGCAAUAGCUUUUUUAAAUGAGGCUUCAGCUGACAAGUCAUUGCUAAUUUUUUUUAUGUUCAGUGUGCAUUAUAGACAACUUUUAAAUUGAAUGCUCCU